UGCCGGUAUUUAAGUUCAUGAAUGAAAAGGUUAAAAUGUAACUGAUACAGGCAGUAUUUGUAUUAUUCGCUUCUUGAGGCGGAACUAAUGUGCUUUGUUCGUAGCCCCGGGGGCCAAGAUCACUGUGACACUGCAAACGGCAGGUGCACGGUGCGCGUUUUGUCACCAAAGCUAUAAAACUUGUAAUGCACAUCAAAACCUCUUUUUACGGCAAGCGGCCAACGAGUUCUCACGGCGUAACGUGUAAAGCGUGAUGGUGUUGAUAAGAUGGAGAGGGAGAGAGGAGACAUGCCACCGCAAUAAACGCCCGUUCAAAGGAA